GGAUGCGAUCAUACCAGCACUAAUGCACCGGAUCCCAUCAGAACCGAAGUUAAGCGUGCUUGGGCGAGAGUAGUACUAGGAUGGGUGACCCCCUGGGAAGUCCUCGUGUUGUAACGG
rnacentral:rRNA from 1 species